AUGCAUAGGAAUCUGCCCGAUAGUGGGGGAUAACCUGGGGAAACCCAGGCUAAUACCGCAUACGUCCUACGGGAGAAAGGGGGCUCCGGCUCCCGCUAUGGGAUGAGCCUAUGUCGGAUUAGCUAGUUGGUGAGGUAACGGCUCACCAAGGCCACGAUCCGUAGCUGGUCUGAGAGGAUGAUCAGCCACAUCGGGACUGAGACACGGCCCGAACUCCUACGGGAGGCAGCAGUGGGGAAUAUUGGACAAUGGGGGCAACCCUGAUCCAGCCAUGCCGCGUGUGUGAAGAAGGCCCUCGGGUUGUAAAGCACUUUCAGCGAGGAAGAACGCCUAGCGGUUAAUACCCGCUAGGAAAGACAUCACUCGCAGAAGAAGCACCGGCUAACUCCGUGCCAGCAGCCGCGGUAAUACGGAGGGUGCAAGCGUUAAUCGGAAUUACUGGGCGUAAAGCGCGCGUAGGUGGCUUGAUAAGCCGGUUGUGAAAGCCCCGGGCUCAACCUGGGAACGGCAUCCGGAACUGUCAAGCUAGAGUGCAGGAGAGGAAGGUAGAAUUCCCGGUGUAGCGGUGAAAUGCGUA
rnacentral:rRNA from 1 species